CCAUUAUUAAAUCUAACAUUUAUUAUAAUUAAAUUUAAUAUAUAUAUUAAAUCAGCCAACUCUGUUGUUGUAAACGUGGAUCUGAGGAACCGGAGCAAAAGUAGUUGGCAGAGAAAGAAUGACAGGGAAUUUUAGAGAACAGUGGAAAAAGUUUUUGUUAAGUAUGACGAGUCAAAGGGGGAAGCUCAACAAGCCGAGCUUCCAGCUCUGAGUCUUUUCUUUAACUGAAGCUCAGCUUGACGAAGGCUCAGCCAUCCAAGCCCAACUUGCCGCUUUCUCCAUGCCAAGAAAAGAGACAAAGAAAUUCCGCCGACAAGAAACUCCACUGCUCUAGUCUCUGCACCAGACAGACGUCUCUUAUAAACGCCAGUUACAGAGACCCAGGAAAAGAAGAGAAUAAUGAGAUAUUACCAUGGAUCCAGGAGGAGGAGGAGAGUGUCCAUACACUCAUUCCCCGUCGCGGUUGCCGUUUUCACCGGCUUUGGCUUACUGAUGCUUAUACUGAGAUCUGUUGAUCCACCCUCUCACGGCGCCGUUUUUCUUUCGAGUCUCGAGGUAGAAGGAGAUGAUAGAGGUGGAGUGAGAGGAGGUCUAAAUUCAAGCUUUGCCUUACGAAAUGGCACCAUUUCUGAAGUAAAGGAUGUUUAUAAACAGAGAAGUGGAGGUUUAAAAUCGUGCGCUACGGUUGAAGAAAUGGGCGAGAGUUUCAAGGGAGCCGUCUGGAAGGAGAGUCUACGAGUGAGAAGAAUCAUCCAGGAGCACUUCGCUGUGAACGGUGCUUCAAGAAUUCAAAAUCUUCCUCCAGAGCAGUUCUGCAAACAUGGCUUUGUCUUUGGGAAGGCAUCAGAGGCAGGUUUUGGCAAUGAAAUGUACAAGAUCUUAAAUGCUGCGGCAUUAAGUAUAAUGUUGAACCGGUCCCUGAUAAUUGGGCAGACCAGGCAUAUUGGUUCUUUCUCAAGCCUUUCUGUUUUUCAUUUGAAUUAUAAUUAUAACUUUCAGCAAAUACUAGGAUUUUGCAUUAUCUGCUUGCUAGCAUCAUUUCAUACUCUCUGUCACUAUUGCCCCUUAGAUAAGCCCAAGAUGUAUUGUGGAGUUCAGAAAUGGCGCCCAACAGUAACACCACAUGGAUAGUGUACCAUGACAAUGUCUCAAUUAAACAUUAACCAGGAAUUUGAAUGAUUUAGGAAAUUGAAGCAGAGCUUGUUACAGUGAAAAAAGAAAAAGAAAUAGGAGAUUCUUGGUGCCGUGAACAUUACCCAGGUACUGUAGCAGCAGAGGGGAAGAAAUACUCAAAUACUCAAAAAUAUCAUCAUAAAAUACUAAGAAAUAGUUAGGUGAUUAUAGAGAACUAAUACUACACUUACUAGGAUUGGGAAUCCCAAACUAGGAAAAUUCUAAAAAAAAAAUACUAUAUAUAGUAUUAGUAUGGUCAAACAAAAUUGAUUAUUAAAAUUCUUAAAUAGUACCUAAACUUGAACUUACUAUAUAGAAAUGUAUAAGCAAAAUCUGAAUUUCAUAAUUAAAAAUGAAAUAAAAAAAUCCCUAAAUCUUGUUUUUCUUGAAUGCAUCAUUGACAUUGUAGGAAGAAGACAUAUUUGAUAUGUCCUCCAAAAUUGGUGGUCUCCAUGGCACAACAGAGCAUGUAAUAGUUAUAAAAUUUGGAGAUGUCUGGUUUUUUUAUUAGUACUGAUUAUUGCUUCACUUCUACUUGUCAGGGGCAAAUAUCCUUUUGGCAAUUAUAUUUCUUAUAGCAAUCAUUCUUUCACAUUGAAGAAAGUCAAACACCUGUGGCGAAAAAAUGGUUGUGUAAAGAACUAUGGAAGGCAUCUGGUAAUGAGGAUUGAUGACUUUGAGAAGCCAGCUAAAACAAAUGUCCUCUGCAGCAAUUGGAGAAAGUGGAAGCAACCAAUCAUAUGGUUUCAAAAUACAACAGAUGCUGUGGCCUGUCAAUUUUUCUUGAAGAACGUAUACCGUGAAAUGAGAGAUGCAGCUUCUGAUUUAUUUGGAAAGCCAGAAGAUUUUCAAUCUCGGCCUAAUGUUUUUGGGGAGUUGAUGAAAGUUCUCGUAUCCCCUUCAGAAGAUGUUGUGGAAGCAGUCAGCUGGGUUCUUGGUGGUGGGGCAGAUCCUGAUGUAUCAUUGCACAUGCGGAUGCUUAUGAGCAGGUCAGUGAGAGCCACACAGGCAGCAUUGAACUGCAUCAAAAAAGCCUUGCGUAAUCUACGCCAAACAUCAAGGCCUAGGGUGGUUUUAGUAUCAGAUACUCCAUCUUUUAUAAGAAGUAUUCUUCCAAACAUAAAUGGAUUUGCAGAGGUAAUUUACUUGAUGUACAAAAUGAUGCUGUUAGUAGCAAUGAUUUGCUCAUGCAAUGAAAAUUAUUGUUCAUGUUCAACCAAAACCUUAAUGCUUUUCUCUUUAACUAAAAUUUUAAUGUAAUAUUAAUUGGCAAUGCAAUAACAUUCUCCACUUAUGUUGAUUGAGUUAAUUUUAUUCUAGAUUCAAAAUUAAGUUUGAGUUGAUUUCAGAUCCAAGAUCAUGGGAUUGCUCAUUCUGAAUUAUGAAUGACUUGCUUUUUCCAGGUUCUUUAUUUUGAUUAUAAACAUUUCCAAGGAAACAUCUCUCAAAGUGUCAACCUAUCGCACAGUUUAGAUUUUAGAGUGAAGGAUUGGGGCCCUGCACCCAGAUGGGUUGCAUUUGUGGACUUCUUUCUUGCAUCACGUGCAAAACAUACUGUUGUCUCUGGUGCUCAGAGACGUGUUGGGACUACCUAUGCACAAUUAAUUGCAGCAUUGGCGGCAGCAAACCACCUAGGGGAAAACUCUACUGGUUCAAGUUUUUCAUUCUUGAGCAGCUUCCAAAGUAAUUUGUUAACAGGUGGUUUAAAGUUGCAGGUUGGGUGGGGACAUGUUUGGAAUAGAUUUGCUGGUCCUUUGAGUUGUAGGAACCAGCCCAAUCAAUGUGCUUUCACACCCCUUCUCCCUCCAGCUUGGUGGGAUGGUCUUUGGCAAUCCCCUAUUCCAUGGGACGUCCGCAGGCUAAUGGCAUUUGGCAUCAAACUAUCUGGUUUUGGCACAGUUGAUGAGGCUCAUCUUCGAUCUUUCUGUAAGUCAAAGAAAAGUACAGUGAAAACUGUUUUGAUUAUAUGAGCAUAAUUUUUUAGACUUGCAGCAUUUCCAUUUGGGAAACAAAUGAAAAGGUUUCAGUUGAAAAUCGCCCAAGACAGCACAAUAGAAACUUAUCUGCAGUCAGUUCAAGACUAUUGAUGUAUUAGAGAGAAUUAAGUGAUGAAUAGAAAGUAAAGCAAAGAAAUUUUCAUUUUAUUUCUGAAAUAUUAAUCAGCAAUUGACUAUCCAUAUUUGAUUAAUAUUCCUGUAACCUAAUGUUGUUUGUAUUUUUUAGGUAAUUAUCAAUAGAAUUCUCAGUUUAGCUUUGUGCCA
rnacentral:misc_RNA from 1 species